rnacentral:misc_RNA from 1 species
UGAUUUGCUAGGUUUAGCAAAAAUAUCAGGAAUCUGCCCAGAAAAUUGGUUGGACUUCAAAGCCAAGAAUUUGAGUUUCUUAAUCUUACCAAGUGAUGGUGGUAUACAGCCAGAGAAAUUGGAGAGAUCCAAGUACUCCAAAGACUUGAGAUUGCCAAAUGCUGCUGGAAUCGAGCCAGAAAAAUUGGCGAAUGAGACAUCCAGGUACUUCAAGGACUCGAGAUUGAC